GACGUAGGGUGCAAGCGUUGUCCGGAUUUACUGGGCGUAAAGAGCGCGUAGGCGGCUCGUUAAGUGAGAAGUGAAAGCUGUGGGCUCAACCCACAAACCGCUUUUCAUACUGGCGAGCUGGAGUGAUGCAGAGGUGGAUAGAAUUCCCCGGUGUAGCGGUGAAAUGCGUUGAUAUCGGGAGGAAUACCCGUGGCGAAGGCGGUCCACUGGGCAUCAACUGACGCUGAGGCGCGAAAAGCGUGG
rnacentral:rRNA from 1 species